GAUGAACGCUGGCGGCGUGCCUAAUACAUGCAAGUCGAGCGAACAGACGAGGAGCUUGCUCCUCUGACGUUAGCGGCGGACGGGUGAGUAACACGUGGAUAACCUACCUAUAAGACUGGGAUAACUUCGGGAAACCGGAGCUAAUACCGGAUAAUAUAUUGAACCGCAUGGUUCAAUAGUGAAAGACGGUUUUGCUGUCACUUAUAGAUGGAUCCGCGCCGCUUUAGCUAGUUGGUAAGGUAACGGCUUACCAAGGCGACGAUGCGUAGCCGACCUGAGAGGGGGAUCGGCGACACUGGAACUGAGACACGGUCCAGACUCCUGCGGGAGGCAGCAGUAGGGAAUCUUCCGCAAUGGGCGAAAGCCUGACGGAGCAACGCCGCGUGAGUGAUGAAGGUCUUCGGAUCGUAAAACUCUGUUAUUAGGGAAGAACAAAUGUGUAAGUAACUAUGCACGUCUUGACGGUACCUAAUCAGAAAGCCACGGCUAACUACGUG
rnacentral:rRNA from 1 species